rnacentral:rRNA from 1 species
GAUGAACGCUAGCGGCAGGCUUAACACAUGCAAGUCGAGGGGUAGAGGAAGCUUGCUUCCUUGAGACCGGCGCACGGUGCGUAACGCGUAUGCAAUCUACCUUAUACAGGGGGAUAGCCCAGAGAAAUUUGGAUUAAUACCCCAUAGUAUAAUUGAAUGGCAUCAUUUAAUUAUUAAAGUUCCAACGGUAUAAGAUGAGCAUGCGUCCAUUAGCUAGUUGGUGUGGUAACGGCACACCAAGGCGACGAUGGGUAGGGGUCCUGAGAGGGAGAUCCCCCACACUGGUACUGAGACACGGACCAGACUCCUACGGGAGGCAGCAGUGAGGAAUAUUGGUCAAUGGGCGCAAGCCUGAACCAGCCAUGCCGCGUGCAGGAUGACGGUCCUAUGGAUUGAAACUGCUUUGACAGGAGAAACACUCCCUCGUAGAGGGAGCUUGACGGUACUGUAAGAAUAAGGAUCGGGCUAACUCCGUGCCAGCAGCCG